UACGUAGGGGGCUAGCGUUGUCCGGAAUCAUUGGGCGUAAAGCGCGCGUAGGCGGCCCGGUAAGUCCGCUGUAAAAGUCCAGGGCUCAACCCUGGAAAGCCGGUGGAUACUGUCGGGCUCGAGUCCGGAAGAGGCGAGUGGAAUUCCUGGUGUAGCGGUGGAAUGCGCAGAUAUCUGGAGGAACACCGGUGGCGAAGGCGGCAUCCUGGACCAACACUGACACUGAUGAGCGAAAGCCAGGGGAGCAAACGGG
rnacentral:rRNA from 1 species